CUUUGUGCCAAUCUAUGCCGUCUUGUUGGAAAAGGGUAAUCGGUCCAGAAAAUGGGCUUAUUUAAACAUACUUUUGUCAUGUGGGGGAUGCGAAUGCUUUGAUAUGAUGGUUACAUUUUAUUUGCUACCCCAUGAAAUCAAUGUGUGGUAUCUGUCGUUGGAUGUCGUAUGUGCUGCUUUAACUUUAAUGAGCACAUUGAUUUGGAUUUGGCAUAACUUGCUUUGCAUUUAUUUUGAAUUUCAUGGGAUGCAAGGAAAGGAAAUACCAUAUAUAGCUCCUCUACAAGCUUGGAUGCGUAUAAUGUUCAUGUUGUCCACAAUCGGAUCAGUAUUUUUACAGUUCGCUCCAAUAAAUAUAAUUCUAGUUUUUGACGUGCAGUUGGCUUUAUAUAUGUGCAGUACGUUAAUGUAUGAAUCAAAUCAAGCAAAAUGAUACUUAAUUAAACUUUUUUAUAGGCUUCUUCCAUGUAGAAUAUUUGUCAAUGUUAAGAGAAGCCGAUGUAAAAAAUGUGUCCACCAGUAUCCUCUUGAACUUUGUCUCUCAUCCCAUUACGAUAUGGGUGGACCGUGUUCUCAAUUGUGUCUUUAUGGCAUUAUCGUUUUAUCAAUUUUAUUUUCUAUCAAACCUUCUUGGUUCAAAUCUCAACGUACGCUAUGCAUCUGGUGCGGGAACGGCAAUGUUUUUUAAUGUGAUAACUUCAAUAGUGCAUUGUUCAUCGUUGACAUCGCUUACAAAAGGAACUCUCGAGGAAUAUCGUCGAGGUAAGAAAGUACGUGAACAAUCAACUGAUGGAAUUAAAACUGAGUCAAUAGAAAAGCAGAAUGCACCCAAUGAUAAAUUUGUCCAAAUAAUUGAAUGCUCUCGUAGCGCAUCCAUAGUGGAAAAUAAGAACUUAGUAUAGAAAAUACAACGUGUGAUUUCAUUCGAAAUAUUACUGAGAAAGGUUAUCUAUUAACACAUCUUAAGUUGUAUGCCCUUUUUUAGAGAAAGACUUUCAACGAAUCGAAGCCCAAUCGUGUUGCAACAAAACCUAUUUAUGAAUUGAAAUAAAAUGAAAUGAGUGAAAUUUUUCUAU